rnacentral:rRNA from 1 species
GCUUGUCUCAAAGAUUAAGCCAUGCAUGUCUAAGUAUAAAUGGUAUACAGUGAAACUGCGAAUGGCUCAUUAAAACAGUUAUAGUUUAUUUGGUAUUCGAAUUUACAUGGAUAACCGUGGUAAUUCUAGAGCUAAUACAUGCUGGCGUGCCCGACUUUUGUGGAAGGGCGGUAUUUAUUAGAUAACAAGCCAAUAUUCCUCACGGUCUAUUGUGGUGACUCAUAAUAACUGAUCGAAUCGCAAGGCCCUUGGCCGCGAUAAGUCAUUCAAGUUUCUGCCCCAUCAGCUUUCGAUGGUAGUGUAUUGGACUACCAUGGCGUUCACGGGUAACGGAGAAUUAGGGUUCGAUUCCGGAGAGGGAGCCUGAGAAACGGCUACCACAUCUAAGGAAGGCAGCAGG